rnacentral:rRNA from 1 species
UACGUAGGGGGCAAGCGUUGUCCGGAUUUAUUGGGCGUAAAGAGCGUGUAGGCGGCUUGGUAGGUCCGCUGUGAAAACUCGAGGCUCAACCUCGAGAUGUCGGCGGAAACCACUUGGCUAGAGUCCGGAAGAGGAGAGUGGAAUUCCCGGUGUAGCGGUGAAAUGCGCAGAUAUCGGGAAGAACACCUAUGGCGAAGGCAGCUCUCUGGGACGGUACUGACGCUGAGACGCGAAAGCGUGGGGAGCAAACGGG